AAUCAACGCUGGCGGCGUGCCUCAGACAUGCAAGUCGAACGUGAAAGUUCCUUCGGGAAUGAGUAAAGUGGCGCACGGGUGAGUAAUACGUGGGUAAUUUGCCUUCGGGUGGGGAAUACCAACCGGAAACGGUUGUUAAUACCGCAUGAUGCAGCGGCUCGACAUCGAGACAGUUGUUAAAGCGGGGGAGCGGAGCAAUCCGUCCUCGCGCCUGAAGAGAAGCCCGCGGCGGAUUAGGAGUUGGUGAGGUAAUGGCUCACCAAGCCGCCGAUCCGUAACCGACCUGAGAGGGUGGUCGGUCACACUGACACUGACAUACGGGUC
rnacentral:rRNA from 1 species